rnacentral:rRNA from 1 species
GUGGGGAAUUUUGGACAAUGGGCGCAAGCCUGAUCCAGCCAUUCCGCGUGCAGGAUGAAGGCCUUCGGGUUGUAAACUGCUUUUGUACGGAACGAAAAGCCUCUGGUUAAUACCCGGGGGUCAUGACGGUACCGUAAGAAUAAGCACCGGCUAACUACGUGCCAGCAGCCGCGGUAAUACGUAGGGUGCGAGCGUUAAUCGGAAUUACUGGGCGUAAAGCGUGCGCAGGCGGUGAUGUACGACAGUUGUGAAAUCCCCGGGCUCAACCUGGGAACUGCAUCUGUGACUGCAGUGCUGGAGUGCGGCAGAGGGGGAUGGAAUUCCGCGUGUAGCAGUGAAAUGCGUAGAUAUGCGGAGGAACACCGAUGGCGAAGGCAAUCCCCUGGGCCUGCACUGACGCUCAUGCACGAAAGCGUGGGGAGCAAACAGGAUUAGAUACCCCAGUAGUCC